rfam:Myotis brandtii contig171602, whole genome shotgun sequence.
GACGGUUCUCAGGUGACACACCCUGGAAUUGGGCUCCCUCCUCUCUGGCUCCGGUUGAGUCACCCGAGAACCACA